rnacentral:rRNA from 1 species
ACGGAAGGCAGCAGCUAAGAAUAUUCCGCAAUGGACGAAAGUCUGACGGAGCGACGCCGCGUGGAUGAUGAAGGCCUAAAGGUUGUAAAAUCCUUUUGACCUGGAAGAAUAAGCCGUGUAGGAAAUGACAUUGUGGUGACGGUACAGUUUGAAUAAGCAACGGCUAAUUACGUGCCAGCAGCCGCGGUAACACGUAAGUUGCGAGCGUUGUUCGGAAUUAUUGGGCGUAAAGGGCAUGUAGGCGGGUAUCUAAGCUGGGUGUGAAAGGCAGGGGCUUAACUCCUAGACUGCAUUGAGAACUGGAUGACUAGGGUUAAUUAAGUGGAAUCAGAAUUCCAGGUGUAGGGGUGAAAUCUGUAGAUAUCUGGAAGAAUACCAAUGGCGAAGGCAGGUUUCAGGCAGAUAACUGACGCUGAGGUGCGAAGGUGCGGGGAGCAAACAGGAUUAGAUACCCUGGUA